AUGUACAUGCUUACAACAUAGUGUUAAUGCGCAGGAUACCAUUAGAACUCCGCAGUUAAGUUCUCUCGGGCUAGAGUAGUACUGGGAUGGGUGACCGCCUGGGAAUUCCUAGUGUUUUACAUU
rfam:Picea glauca, whole genome shotgun sequence.